rnacentral:rRNA from 1 species
CCUACGGGUGGCUGCAGUGGGGAAUAUUGGACAAUGGGGGAAACCCUGAUCCAGCAAUGCCGCGUGUGUGAAGAAGGCCUGCGGGUUGUAAAGCACUUUCGGUUGGGAAGAAAAGUUUGGCGCCAAUACCGCCGAACCUUGACGUUACUGACAGAAGAAGCACCGGCUAAAUCUGUGCCAGCAGCCGCGGUAAUACAGAGGGUGCAAGCGGUAAUCGGAAUGACUGGGCGUAAUCAUGCAGUAGGUGGGUGAAAGCCCCGGGCUUAACCGGGGAACUGCAUUCGAUACUACAUGGCGAGAGUAUGGUAGAGGGAAGUGGAAUUUCCGGUGUAGCGGUGAAAUGCGUAGAUAUCGGAAGGAACACCAAUGGCGAAGGCAGCUUCCUGGACUAAUACUGACACUGAGGCACGAAAGCGUGGGUAGCAAACAGGAUUAGAUACCCUAGUAGUC